rnacentral:ncRNA from 1 species
AUCCGACAAUAGCAAAGCCGGCCAAAGCCGGCGGCGCAAAGCCGAGGGCCCGUAGGGGUUGCCUGGCUGCCGAA